ACCAAGCAAGCGAUAUCUUUUUCCCACCAAAAGCUGCCUUCAAUGUCAGGAAAAUAUCCAUUGCUCUUACCUAAUCGGAUAAUACAAUAUAUUGUGAAAAGAAGCGUUGGAAUAUCUUACCUGUUGAUCUUCUACUUCUGCAACAUUUAGUGUACGUGAUUAAAGCCGCUAGAUAAAAUAAAGAGGACAAUGUUUCUGCUCUUCCCACCACUCCUGUAACCUUAAGACACGAUUAUCCACUGACAAUGCAUCUAAACGCGAACUAGGAACUACGAUGCGAUCGAUCGCUCGACGUCGACCAUUCGAAUCUGGUGGAUACAGUAUCGAGACAUUGUCGCCGAAGGGAAGAACAAGGACUAAAAAUAAUUACGAAAUAAUAUCCUCGUAUAAUUUCAAGAUGUUACAUAGAAUAUCUAACGGAAAGAUCUAAGAGGUAAUUUCUACCUGAAAUACAAUAAGCACACUCCGACAUGUAAGAUAACAUUAA